CCCCUGCCCCUCUGCCUCUGCCUCUGCCUCCCAAGUGCUGGGAUUAAAGGCAUGUGCCACCGCUGGAAGGCUUACAUAAAGUGGGUUUGUUGUUGUUCAUUAUGUUUUCCACAUGCAACGGAGUAUUUGAAGGGAGAAUGGUCUGCCCCUUUAAACUGUUCUUUCCUUCCCUGACUCUCGAGUGUUACCUGGGAACCCUGGGUAAUGGCAACUCUUAUCACCCUGACCCCUGGUGCUGGGGUCAGGCCGGGCUGUGGGGAUACUCCUAGCUCCUACAUGCUCUGCCUCUGAGCUGCACUCACCUGCACUUUAUGCUACUUCAGUUUGAUUUCCUCCUCUGAUGUCAUGUUUUAGGUGCUUCAGUCUUUCCUGUCCUUAUGAAUUCAGAGUGCAGAGCCAGCAAAACUAAUGCUGAGUGUCGUGGCCUGGGCUCAUCCGCGCUCACUACUGCCUCGUUUAACCACAGCAAUAAACUUAUUAAAUAAACUUACUUAACAACAUGCUCCCAUGACUGUGAUGGAAUCAAAUCACUAGUGAGGGUGGUCCUGUGCCCCGCACUGGCUCGCACACACUAGAUGUAAAUAACAGACAGUGUCACGUCACAGCCUGAGCACCCAGGGGAGGGCCACUCACACCCACUGUCUGUAUUCUACAUUUAGAACUGGAGCAAGCUGUCGGCUGUCUUAACUUUCAUAACAUUUUCAAAACAUAUCACAUUCGAGGGAAACUGAGGCCUGCUACAGUAACUGUCUCCAGCUCACUGACGCGCUCUGCUCGGAGCCUAGGAUGUGGGUGGAAGUUUACCAGGGAGGGCGACGGGCACCUCUACCCUGACAGCUUCAUCACUGCUGCUGCUGCCGCCCAGCUGACCAACCAACCGACCGACACUGACCCGCUGACCGACUGACUUUCUCACGGGACUGUUUGUACGUUCUCUACAGAGAUGCACACCUUACCUGCACAGGGCCACUGCUCAUUUCUGUCUCAGGAUGAGCUGCCCACAGGCACCAAACACUGGAAGUGGUGUUUGAUGGUGAAGGUAUCCCUUUGAUUUGAACCCAGCAGGGGAGGAAUCAGAACAAGAGAAGUUAUAAAAAGGAACCUCAGAAACCCUGUGUUACAGUGUCAGUUUUAAGUGUUUCCAGUUUUCAUUUGCCACCCCCGCCCCGGCCCCCACCCUGGCUCCAGACAAUUUUAUUAAGGUUAAAAGAACCGCCCAGGGCAGGCAUUUUAUAUAUUUUAUAUUUUAAUAUAUUUUAUAUUUUAAAUAUAUAAUUUUAAUAUAUUUAAAUAUUUUUAUAGGAAGGUCCAUGUAACAGGGUCCGGAGACCUUAGCACGACUGAGACCAUGACUGAAGUACCAUUCGGGCGGUAAACCUCAGCAAGUAGGCAGCACCCCUACCAAACCGAAGGCCUAAGCCAUCAAAGCCCACAGUUCUAGGAAGGUCCCUAAAUGUACUCCAGGGUUUUUACUUUCUGUAGUCCUGCUUCUGGCUAACUUUUCUUGUCGACUGAUGUAUAUCAACCUAGGACAUGGUCUCUGUGUUCAAAAGCUCACUCUGAGAAAGACUCAGGCAUGUACUAAGAUCCCAAACACCAGUGUAGUCACUGGCCAGCUUAAUAAAGAUUUCUCUUGGCUUAAACCCAUGUCUGAGCAGUCUCUGGUAGAUAGCCCUAACAGUCAUUAGGCAUGGAAUUGCCUUUAUUUGGGUUCUCUGAACCCAAAGAUACUAAGUUAGACUUAAGUGUUACGUUCCACUGGCUAACUCUGGCCAAUCUCUAAUGGAUUAUGGCUCCACUGCUUUAAGAGACACAGCAAUUUUACCGUCUUCAUUCCAAUGUGUAAGAUCCUUUAUGCUCAAGGAAUAAAGCCACUCAGAAAAGUAAAAUGUUUAAAACUUUUUAAAAUGUCAUCAAAGUAGAACAAAUGGAAAUUAAAGGUACUCAGGUUUUAUAGUUUCAAGCUUACUACAGUAUAUACAAAACAUAGUAUGAUUUUUUUCAAAUCCAGAUAGGUAAAUAUUGUUCAUUUGAUUUGAUUUAAGCUGUCUAUCUCUCCCAGUGCUGGAGAUGAAGCCCAGGCCUUGUGUGCUACACACGCACCCUGCACUGGCCUAACAUGUCCUUUUACCCCUCCAUGUUAGAUUUAUAUGUGUGUAUUAGAGGGAGUACACACACAUGCAUGUGCCCAAAGAGGCCAGAAGGAGCUACGCUUAGGUAUAAGCUGCCCAGUAAGGAUGCUGGGAACUAACUUUGGUUGCCUGAAAAAGUUGCAAGCAUUGGUAACAGCUGAGCCACCCCUGCAGCCCUGCAAGUGCCUGUGCAUUCUCCCUCCCCUCUCCUCCCCUCCCCCUUCCCUCUCCCCUCCCCUCUCCCUUUCUCCUUCUCUCCUCUGCACUCCCCUCACCCUUUCCUCUCCUCUCCACUCUCCUCCCUCUUUC
ensembl:lncRNA